rnacentral:rRNA from 1 species
AGAGUUUGAUCCUGGCUCAGAUUGAACGCUGGCGGCAGGCCUAACACAUGCAAGUCGAGCGGUAGCACAGAGAGCUUGCUCUCGGGUGACGAGCGGCGGACGGGUGAGUAAUGUCUGGGAAACUGCCUGAUGGAGGGGGAUAACUACUGGAAACGGUAGCUAAUACCGCAUAACGUCGCAAGACCAAAGUGGGGGACCUUCGGGCCUCAUGCCAUCAGAUGUGCCCAGAUGGGAUUAGCUAGUAGGUGGGGUAAUGGCUCACCUAGGCGACGAUCCCUAGCUGGUCUGAGAGGAUAACCAGCCACACUGGAACUGAGACACGGUCCAGCUCCUACGGAGGCAGCAGUGGGGAAUAUUGCACAAUGGGCGCAAGCCUGAUGCAGCCAUGCCGCGUGUAUGAAGAAGGCCUUCGGGUUGUAAAGUACUUUCAGCGAGGAGGAAGGCAUUAAGGUUAAUAACCUUAGUGAUUGACGUUACUCGCAGAAGAAGCACCGGCUAACUCCGUGCCAGCAGCCGCGGUAAUACGGAGGGUGCAAGCGUUAAUCGGAAUUACUGGGCGUAAAGCGCACGCAGGCGGUCUGUUAAGUCAGAUGUGAAAUCCCCGGGCUCAACCUGGGAACUGCAUUCGAAACUGGCAGGCUUGAGUCUUGUAGAGGGGGGUAGAAUUCCAGGUGUAGCGGUGAAAUGCGUAGAGAUCUGGAGGAAUACCGGUGGCGAAAGCGGCCCCCUGGACAAAGACUGACGCUCAGGUGCGAAAGCGUGGGGGAGCAAACAGGAUUAGAUACCCUGCUAGUCCACGCUGUAAACGAUGUCGACUUGGAGGUUGUUCCCUUGAGGAGUGGCUUCCGGAGCUAACGCGUUAAGUCGACCGCCUGGGGAGUACGGCCGCAAGGUUAAAACUCAAAUGAAUUGACGGGGGCCCGCACAAGCGGUGGAGCAUGUGGUUUAAUUCGAUGCAACGCGAAGAACCUUACCUACUCUUGACAUCCAGAGAACUUAGCAGAGAUGCUUUGGUGCCUUCGGGAACUCUGAGACAGGUGCUGCAUGGCUGUCGUCAGCUCGUGUUGUGAAAUGUUGGGUUAAGUCCCGCAACGAGCGCAACCCUUAUCCUUUGUUGCCAGCGAUUCGGUCGGGAACUCAAAGGAGACUGCCAGUGAUAAACUGGAGGAAGGUGGGGAUGACGUCAAGUCAUCAUGGCCCUUACGAGUAGGGCUACACACGUGCUACAAUGGCAUAUACAAAGAGAAGCGACCUCGCGAGAGCAAGCGGACCUCAUAAAGUAUGUCGUAGUCCGGAUUGGAGUCUGCAACUCGACUCCAUGAAGUCGGAAUCGCUAGUAAUCGUAGAUCAGAAUGCUACGGUGAAUACGUUCCCGGGCCUUGUACACACCGCCCGUCACACCAUGGGAGUGGAUUGCAAAAGAAGUAGGUAGCUUAACCUUCGGGAGGGCGCUUACCACUUUGUGAUUCAUGACUGGGGUGAAGUCGUAACAAGGUAACC